rnacentral:rRNA from 1 species
GACCCGUCUUGAAACACGGACCAAGGAGUCUGACAUGUGUGCGAGUUAACGGGCGAGUAAACCCGUAAGGCGCAAGGAAGCUGACUGGUGGGAUCCCCUAGUGGGUUGCACCACCGACCGACCUUGAUCUUCUGAGAAGGGUUCGAGUGUGAGCAUACCUGUCGGGACCCGAAAGAUGGUGAACUAUCUCCGCCCCAUCGCAUGCGAUCGAGACGGGACUAUGUUGCGCCCCAACACCGCAGUGCCAGGGAUCACACAUCAGCUCCGCAAGGACGCCUUCACUUUCAUUACGCCUUUGGGUUUUCAACACCCAAUGACUCGCGCAUGCUAAACUCCUUGGUCCGUGUUUCAAGACGGGUC